UACGUAGGGUGCAAGCGUUGUCCGGAAUUAUUGGGCGUAAAGAGCGUGUAGGCGGCCUGAAAGGUCAGCUGUGAAAACUCGAGGCUCAACCUCGAGACGUCGGUUGAAACCAUCUGGCUAGAGUCCGGAAGAGGAGUGUGGAAUUCCCGGUGUAGCGGUGAAAUGCGCAGAUAUCGGGAAGAACACCCGUGGCGAAGGCGGCACUCUGGGACGGUACUGACGCUGAGACGCGAAAGCGUGGGGAACGAACAGG
rnacentral:rRNA from 1 species